GGAAGCUGGACAGAUCAAUAAGUCAAAUUUCUCUUUUAGGAAUGUCUUCCUCGGCUGGUGUUAUAAGAUACUGUGUUUAUGUUUACCAUGUCCAUCAGUACGAGGUAGGUCUUCCAGUAUUAAUAAUACAUAUAUCUAACAAUUUGCCUUGUUAAAAAUUACAAUAUAGUUUGUGGAUUAUUUUUUAUCAUUUAAAUGCAAAAUUAAAGAAAAAUUACUGAAGCCAAAAUAAUAUGUGGACAAUUUAUUUCACGCACAAAGCAAACAAAAAAGUUGUCGGACAUUGCAAAUUUUCACUUAAAGAGAUUGGUGAUCAGUUAUGGAUUAUUGGAUGCUAACAUGAAAAAAAACAGGUGUCAAUGUUCAGCCAGUGAGCACUAGGAGUACAGAAGGAUAAAAGAGAAUCUGUUAGCAUUGUGUGGUCAGUGGACAGAGAGCUAAAUAUGAAAAAGAAAUCAACAAGUAAGACAAUAGUGCAGCUGCCUUCCUUCCCCCACACCAUAUGUGUUAUAGGGUGGGAGAAAAUAUAAGCAGAUUCAGGGCCAGAUUAACAUAGGGGCUGAUUGAGCUGAAGCUCCAGACCCAUGCCCAUGGAUUAGGCCCAUUGAUAAAAUAAUAAUAAUAAUAAUAAUUAAAUACAUUUAUUUUUUUACUAUUCUUCACAUGCUCUGGCUUUGUGUAAAUGAAAUUAAUUACAGAAACUUAUUUGGGCUGUAGGGGAACAAAUCUUUUGUGGACUAGCUGACAAUGAAAUUAGUUAAGGUAAAGCUGACUGUUCACACUGAGUAAAUGCUCUUGCUGUUUCGGGCUCUCUAACACUGUGGCAUGUUCACUUUAUUCUACACUCACUACAUUCACCUUUUCUCUUCUGUCCCAGGCUGCAUACCAGCAGCUUCUGCCUGCUAGUAAGAAAGAGAGGAGACGACUAGUUAGUGUUGUUAGUCAGUCCCCAGAAAGUGUAGGAUGAGUGACUCAUUAGACAUAUUUGCGCCAACCUCAAGGCGCUGUCUGCAUACAAUGCCAUUAGUUGGCCAGCCUGCAGGACUGGCAGGCAGCCUGACAUGCUUCCAUGACAGACUGACCUUCCAAUUUUUCUAGCAGUCUAGAAAAAUUCUGGGCAUGUCCAUUCCUUUGGACGAUGUCGGUUACAUGAUUCGCAUCAGGGUAUGUGUUUUGUUAUACGUGCAUCUUGUGCGUUUCCCUCCUGCAUCACCUCCACAUGAUGCUUGGAAUGUAUAACAGUUUUAAUGCUUGCUGUGGUUAGGCCCAUCAUAAUUGUCAGCACAAUGGACUAUUAAUCUGGCCGUGAGCAGGUUGUUUCCUUGACAUAUUGCUAACCAUUGGAGACCCAGUGAGCAGGUUCCCCUAUUAUUGUUAAUUUACAGGGGCUACAAUACACACCCUACUCAUUCUUCUAUCUUGUGAGCUGUUAGAAGUGGGAUACUCUACAGCCCAGCCUCUGUAGAGUACCAGAAAUGUGACCAGUCCCUCUGGAAAAAUAUAGAACCAAAGUAUAAUCCAACAAUUAUCAGUAAGCCACGGGGUGCUCAAUUCCCCUCAUGUGUCUCCAUAAAUGAUAGGCAUAUAGUUAAAAAGCUGAAAAGAGACAUGCGUCCAUCAAGUUCAGCCUCUCUCACAUUUGUAUUUGCUGUUGAUCCAUUUAAGACAAAAACUCAGUCUGAAGCACUUUCUAAUUUUGCAAUAAAUCUCUCUUAACUACAGCAGGGCAGUCAGAUAUCUAAUUGGAUCAAGAUGCUAUUACUCCACUAAUUAAAAAGUAUAUCCCUGUAUAUUAUGUUUUUCCAAGUAUUUAUGUAAUUACUGUCUAAACAUCUGUAUGGACUCUGAUAAAACCACCUUUUCAGGCAAAGAAUUCCANNNNNNNNNNNNNNNNNNNNNNNNNNNNNNNNNNNNNNNNNNNNNNNNNNNNNNNNNNNNNNNNNNNNNNNNNNNNNNNNNNNNNNNNNNNNNNNNNNNNCAUCCUUAUUGUUCUUACUGUAAAAAAAAGCCUUUAUUUUGUCUUAGAUGAAAUCUCCUUUCUUCCAGCCUAAAUGUGUGACCUUGUGACCUAUGGAUAGUCAUGUUUAUGAAUAGAAAUAGGAUGUCUUGCCUAAAAUUAGCGUGUUAUGAAAAUAUUUUUUUAGACAUUGUUUUAUUAUUAUAUUUAUAUAUAUAUUUUUUUUAAAUUUUUUUAUUUCUAGGUGUCCCUGAAAAUCCCAGGAUUCCCUAGCUUUGAAUACGGUUACUCCCUUUGGAUGGCUGUAGGUGGGAGCUUAGGAGCCAUCACUACAGCAAUAAUUGCCUGGUAUCUGAUUCUCUGCAACAAGAAGCCGCAAGUGAUACAGAAAAAAGGAUUAGAC
rnacentral:lncRNA from 1 species